CGCUCCCGGUCCCCGAUGCAGCUCCCGAAUGAGCCCGCAGUAUUUUCCUUAUAUGAUCAGGCCCCGUUGCUGGCGGCGCUGAGAGGAUUAUGAAAACAUGGCAGGCGAAGUGGGGCAGGGGACCGGGCG